GACAGAGGUGCCGAGCGUUAGGCGGAAUCACUGGGCUUAAAGCGUGUGUAGGCGGAUCUGUAAGUACCUUGUGAAAUCCCACGGCUCAACCGUGGAACUGCUUGGUAUACUGCGGGUCUUGAGCCACCUAGGGGCAAGUGGAACAAACGGUGGAGCGGUGAAAUGCGUAGAUAUCAUUUGGAACGCCAAUGGUGAAAAACAGGUAGCUGGGGAUGUGCUGACGCUGAGACACGAAAGCCAGGGGAGCAAACGGG
rnacentral:rRNA from 1 species